AGAUUGUAAAGCACAACUGUUAAUAAUGGGAGUUUUACGGUUACUCCUUGUGAUUUGUUUCAUCGGACUUGUAACCAGUGCAAGUAUACGAAGCGAUGGCGCUGGAUCAUUGCAGCCACGUGAUGAGCAGUCAGGAUUAACGGAGCCCGAAAGUCGCCCUGGUCAGUGUCUUUAUAAGGGUGUGUGGCACGAUACCGACAAGAGUUUUAGUGAUGAUUGUAAUACCUGCGGAUGCACUGAAACUGGGAUGGUAUGGUGCACCCUCGUGUUUUGUCAUGUACUAUGAGUGAUAAUAAA